CGGAAGUUUUGCCGUGUCUCGACUGUAACUGCCGCUGUUGUGCUGUGUUUCAGAAUACGUGGAAUGGUUUGCGUCCAUGCGUGCGUCACUCGCACACCUAUGGGCAAUUUGGAGCGCCCAAUCGGCAGUUUUUGGGAUGUAGGGGGAAGCCGGAUAAACGCCACGCAGACACGGGGAGAACAUGCAAACUCCACUGGGCCGGAAUGGAAUGAAACCCACAACCUCUGAACUGUGAAGCAAACUUGCUAAGCAGUGUAUCACCGUGCAGCGUUAAAGAUGUAUAUUGUGAGAUGAUAACAUUAGUUUGCGCGUGUGUGCGUGGGGGAGGGACAAAGUUAUUUUUGGGGUUUGACUGAAAAUGUAUAGCAUUGCAUGACAAGGUCAUUCUAUAUCUCUCUCUCUUUCUGGCACACUUUGAAAAAAACCACUCUGGAGAGAAGAAUUCUGUAAUCCUCAAAUCUGCAUAAUACUCCUUGCAUUAAUGCAGGAUGCACUUCACAUCAACCUGUUUUCUUCAUGUUGGCACUUACUGUAUGGUAAAGAGCACUGUAAAAUGGUCCGUGUACAUUUGACAGGGACUAGUAAUAAACAUCGCAGCUGCAAUAUUAA